rnacentral:rRNA from 1 species
AUUGAACGCUGGCGGCAUGCCUAACACAUGCAAGUCGAACGAGUGGCGGACGGGUGAGUAAUGUCUGGGAAACUGCCCGGUGGCGGGGGAUAACGUCUGGAAACGGGCGCUAAUACCGCAUACCAUCGGAUGUGCCCAGGUGGGAUUAGCUAGUAGGUGGGGUAACGGCUCACCUAGGCGACGAUCCCUAACUGGUCUGAGAGGAUGACCAGCCACACUGGAACUGAGACACGGUCCAGACUCCUACGGGAGGCAGCAGUGGGGAAUAUUGGACAAUGGGCGCAAGCCUGAUGCAGCCAUGCCGCGUGUAUGAAGAAGGCCUUCGGGUUGUAAAGCACUUUAAGCGAGGAGGCGUUACUCGCAGAAGAAGCACCGGCUAACUCCGUGCCAGCAGCCGCGGUAAUUC